rnacentral:rRNA from 1 species
AACAGACGAGGAGCUUGCUCCUCUGACGUUAGCGGCGGACGGGUGAGUAACACGUGGAUAACCUACCUAUAAGACUGGGAUAACUUCGGGAAACCGGAGCUAAUACCGGAUAAUAUAUUGAACCGCAUGGUUCAAUAGUGAAAGACGGUUUUGCUGUCACUUAUAGAUGGAUCCGCGCCGCAUUAGCUAGUUGGUAAGGUAACGGCUUACCAAGGCAACGAUGCGUAGCCGACCUGAGAGGGUGAUCGGCCACACUGGAACUGAGACACGGUCCAGACUCCUACGGGAGGCAGCAGUAGGGAAUCUUCCGCAAUGGGCGAAAGCCUGACGGAGCAACGCCGCGUGAGUGAUGAAGGUCUUCGGAUCGUAAAACUCUGUUAUUAGGGAAGAACAAAUGUGUAAGUAACUAUGCACGUCUUGACGGUACCUAAUCAGAAAGCCACGGCUAACUACGUGCCAGCAGCCGCGGUAAUACGUAGGUGGCAAGCGUUAUCCGGAAUUAUUGGGCGUAAAGCGCGCGUAGGCGGUUUUUUAAGUCUGAUGUGAAAGCCCACGGCUCAACCGUGGAGGGUCAUUGGAAACUGGAAAACUUGAGUGCAGAAGAGGAAAGUGGGAUUCCAUGUGUAGCGGUGAAAUGCGCAGAGAUAUGGAGGAACACCAGUGGCGAAGGCGACUUUCUGGU